UUAGUGAUCAAACUUCAAAUAUCUUUGCUUUCAAAACAUGCGUUGAUUCUCUGAAGUGCAGAAUUUAAAGUAUGGGGCACUAACUAGCGCAAACUAUUAGCUACGCGGAAGUCAAGGUAUUACUCUGAGGUGAACUCAUUCAUAAGAGGUCUGGAGCUAGAAGUGGGACGGUAUUUGGGAGGCAUGAGUGGUACGGUCCGUCAGAUCAGUGUGGUGUUGGACCCAAGCAUCCCAUAUUUCCUGCGGGUGGACUGGGCCGAAGACCUGGGUGCUGGUUUCACUCUCGCCCUCAGUGACGGCAGCUCGUCCUGGAUCGGAGAAGUACCAGAGGAGGAGAUGACUGGGAAAGCCACAGAGUUGGGAGUGAAAAGGGAGAAAUAUGUUGAAGAUCUUCAUCAGGCACUGACCGGAGGAGGAGAAAGCGAAAGAGGAAGAGUGGCAGAAAAGGAGGAGUACCUGUUCCACCUCUCCUCUGACCACUGUUGUCUGUCGUAUGACAAGAAGACCCAGAGAGGCGUUUUGGUGAACAUGGGUGCAGUGGAGCUGCACCCUGCCCCUGUGGAUCUCAACAGGGAGAUGAUAGCCCACACUCUGGAGCACAGCGCUGACCUGGAGGCAGAGAACAGACGGCUGCAGGAGAAGAAUCAGACACUCCGGCAGGAGCGACAGCACCUCCUUGCAGAUCUGGAGAAGCAUGUCCAGGAGAUGGAGACAAUGGAGGGAGAUUUGUUUUCUCGUUUCAUCAUGCUGCUUAAUGAGAAGAAGGUCAAGAUCAGGGCCCUGCAGGAAACCAUCAGACACAUCCAACAGCGGGUGGAAGAGCAGGAGAACCACCGGCUUCUUUGUUUUGUCUGUCUUCAUGUCCCCGGCACCCCUGUCUCUUUACCAGCUUGUCAGUUUCUGACAUAGGCCGCCGCAUCAUGAUUGUCCUAUAAAAAAGAAAACAUACAAUCGGUGUCUUUUGAGGGACUAACUUGUCUGAAAGUAGUUGACUUGAGUUGUACUUUUUAUUGGACAAAAACCUACAAUGAUGGACGUUAUAUAUCAUUUCAUCAUGCCUCUGAAUGAGCUGUAGCCAUAGUCAACCCAAAGUGGAAAGACAGCCACCCUACUGUUGAAGUUAGUUAGAGGCCCAAGUGGCUCAACCUGGCAAACCUGGCCAACCUGCCUGUGUCUGCCUGCCUGCCUGCCUGCCUGCCUGCCUGCCUGCCUGCCUGCCUGCGGGUAACUGAGCAGACAGUCCAGUCCAUACUACAUUGAAAGCUCUACAUGGGAUACUAUCGGAAUAGUAGAUUUUACACAUAAUUUAGUUGCUUGUGCUUGGCUCUCUUGCUGUCCCUCAUGGUCUUGGAUUUAAUUUGAUUUAAUUUAGUUGCUUGUGUAACCAGGAAAAUCUGUUGAGAUUUUUAAUUACAUUUUAAUCGAUUGCUAAUUUCAGAAAAAGGUAAACAGAUGUAAAAAAAAAUCUAAUUAUUGAGAGAGAUGUCAAUGAUGUCCCCAAAUAAAGUGUGAUGACUUAGUGAGUGAUCCCUCUCUCUCUUUGUCUCUUCUCCCUCACUCCUGUCUCUCCAUAGGUUAACUGUCAAAUCCAAGGCUGGAGACAGCAUUAAGGAGGAGGAGGACCUGCCUCAGAGCUUCCACCCAUCUCAGGCACCCACCGUGCUCAUCAGAGACAUGUCAAGCCAGACGAGCUCUAUGGAGGACAUUGUGCAAGACAGUA